ensembl:lncRNA
GUCCACGGGUUGCAAAGAGUUGCACAGGACCUAGCAAGUGAGCACGCUCGCACGCCUUCCUGUGCCGGAGCUCACGCGUCAGAGCUCGCAGGCUGUUGGUGGAGCCGGAUCUUGAUGCUAAUGAGGCAAUCGCUCAGCGGCCGGGACUGUUUACAGUGAAUCUUCCUCGGUAUGUCCACUCCCGCGUCUCCGUCCCCAGGGUGAGCAGCAGCAGCAGGCGUUCCUCCUCACCCCUCCGCCGUCCCCACCUUCCCAGGAGACGCCCCAAGACCAGCAGAGCUACAGAAACCUUCAGAAUUUCAGAAGAGAGCACCAUAGUUUGUUAUGUUAAAGAGGUCACUUUUGGAUCCUACCUAAGGAAGAGAUUGGUUACCUUGAGAACUAAUCUCCUAAUUAGACU